rnacentral:rRNA from 1 species
CGCGCACGCUGGCGGCAUGCCUAACACAUGCAAGUCGAACGAGACCUUCGGGUCUAGUGGCGCACGGGUGCGUAACGCGUGGGAACCUGCCCUUAGGUUCGGAAUAACUCCCCGAAAGGGGUGCUAAUACCGGAUAAUGUCUUCGGACCAAAGAUUUAUCGCCUUUGGAUGGGCCCGCGUUGGAUUAGCUAGUUGGUAGGGUAAAAGCCUACCAAGGCGACGAUCCAUAGCUGGUCUGAGAGGAUGAUCAGCCACACUGGGACUGAGACACGGCCCAGACUCCUACGGGAGGCAGCAGUGGGGAAUAUUGGACAAUGGGCGAAAGCCUGAUCCAGCAAUGCCGCGUGAGUGAUGAAGGCCUUAGGGUUGUAAAGCUCUUUUACCCGGGAUGAUAAUGACAGUACCGGGAGAAUAAGCGCCGGCUAACUCCGUG